GACGGAGGCUUUCUGUGUUGCCCAGGCUGGAGUGCAUUGGCAAGAUCUUGGCUUACUGCAACCUCUGUGUCCCGGUUCAAGCAAUUCUCCUGCCUCAGCCUCCCAAGUAGCUGGGAUUAUAGGCGAAGUCACUCUAUCACCCAGAUUGGAGUGCAGCGACGUGAUCUCGGCUCACUGCCACCUCUCCCUCCCGGGUUCAAGCGAUUCUCCUGCCUCAGCCUCCUGAGUAGCUGGGAUUACACGUGUGCACCACCACGCCCGGGAUCCACUCUUCUGGGAAAGGAUGAGGUUUCCUCUGCUGAAUGCAAUUGAUCUUUUCAGAGGAAAAAUAUAGUCACUGCCUUGGACUAAAACAGGAAUUUUCAACUGGAUUGAGGAUUUCUGGGGAAAGAAAACUAAAUCAAUGAUUGGCCCAGUCUGUCAGACUAUUGGUGUCAUUUGAUCCCACACUUGGCUCUCUCUAAAGAAGAAAAACCCUGCCCUGUGAGCUCUACUCCCUCCUCCUGCAGAAAAGGCAUCCUCCUAUCCAGAUGGAUCCUCAUCCGCCUGCCUGGUCUCUCUGACUUCACCUGCAAUAAGCCUUCCACCAUUCACUAUGCUCCAAAGACACUGGCAUUCAUUCUCUUCCUCCAGCAAAGCUGUCUUAGAAAACCUUUCUCUAUACAUGCUGUUCCUUUGCCUGAAAGCUCUGCCACCAAGUCUUUGGAUGACUGGCCAGAGGGUUCAGCUUAGCUGUCACCUCUCCAAAGAAGUCAUCCUUGAUGAUUCAUCCUAAAGUACCUGCCCACCUUCUUGACAACUCUCCAUUCCAUUAUUGUUUUACUUCUUUCAUAGAAUUUUUCACCAUUUGAGACUGUAUUUUUCUUUUAAUUCAUUUAUGUAUUUAUUGUUUGUCCCUCCACACAUUCUAAAAUGAAAACAUCAGAAGAACAAGGUCCUUCAACAGUGUUUACUGCUGGAUCUGCAGUGCCUAGAAGAGUAGCUGGCUCAUGGGAAGAGCUCAAUAAAUAUUUGUUGAAUAAAUGAAUGAAUGAAGUUGCUGCUUAGACUGUCUGUCCUUUUUAAGUUGGCAUUAUAAUAGUUGGCUUUAUUUGAGCCUCAUAUUAUGUGCAUACAUAUAAGAACCAGGAAGAGUAAAGGGACUCCUCUUACUAAACUAGCUACUAUUUAACGACUACAUAUCUUUGUACCUGAAAUAGAAGCCAGAAUUUCAGGACUUGAAGAACGUCAGGAAUCAUGAUGAUGAUGAUGAUCAUGAUGAUGAUGAUGACAAUGAUGACAAUGAUGAUGAUAGAUAACUGAAACCCAGAGGAGUGAAGUCACUAGUUCAA
rnacentral:lncRNA from 1 species